rnacentral:rRNA from 1 species
UACGUAGGGUGCGAGCGUUGUCCGGAAUUAUUGGGCGUAAAGAGCUCGUAGGCGGCUUGUCGCGUCGACUGUGAAAUCCCGCGGCUCAACUGCGGGUCUGCAGUCGAUACGGGCAGGCUAGAGUUCGGUAGGGGAGACUGGAAUUCCUGGGUGUAGCGGUGAAAUGCGCAGAUAUCAGGAGGAACACCGAUGGCGAAGGCAGGUCUCUGGGCCGAUACUGACGUGGAGGAGCGAAAGCGUGGGGAGCGAACAGG